GCAAAGUAAUAUAGUGAGCACCAUAUUUUUGUUUAUAGAUAUUCACUUGACGGCACGGCGGGGAGUCAGAUGACAGCCAGGUGAUUGAACAGCGGCGGAGAGCAUUCUUUUGGUGGCAGAGGAAGAAGGUGAUGACGCGGAGGCGGGGAAGGCACAGUCUGGUCUGAAAAGCUGAAUAUCAGGCAUUUGGAAGCGGCCCGAAUCACCUGGCAAUCUCGUGUAGGAAGCAGAAGGUGAUUCAUUCAUCCAUGAACCCAUCAUCCCUUGUUGGCCAUUCUUGUACUGCAUUAUAGCUCUGUAUACCAGUGGAAUUAAGCCCUCCAUAUCGUCUAAGUUGAGAGGGCGGGUAGGUAGGGUGUGGAGAGAUUUCAGAUUUCUUGGUGUUAUGUUGAUUUGCAAAUUACGAUGGGGAAGGGAAUGGAGUGGUUGGUUUAAAUUUAAAUGAGAGACUUGGGUGUGAUGACGUGGCGUAAUGGGUUGGAGCCUUAGCUGUUUAGUUUUAGUCUAAGCCAAGCUGACAGAUUGGCAAUUUUCACGAGUGGGAUAAGGAUCAUCGCGAAUUGAAUCAUCUAGGCUUACAAGGCAAACCUGCACGAAAACCAUACUUGAAAGCUCCAUUCAAACUACAUUCCAUUACAUCUCACCAAAUCUC
rnacentral:lncRNA from 1 species